UAAUACGGAGGGUGCAAGCGUUGUCCGGAUUUAUUGGGUUUAAAGGGUGCGUAGGUGGUUUGAUAAGUCCGGGGUGAAAGCCCACAGCUCAACUGUGGAACUGCCCUGGAUACUGUCAGACUUGAGGGUAGACGAGGUUGGCGGAAUAGAAGGUGUAGCGGUGAAAUGCAUAGAUACCUUCUAGAACCCCGAUUGCGUAGGCAGCUGACUAGGCUACACCUGACACUGAGGCACGAAAGCGUGGGGAGCGAACAGGAUUAGAUACCCUGGUAGUCCACGCCGUAAACGAUGGAUACUCGCUGGUGGCGAUAGACAGUCACUGGCUUAGCGAAAGCGGUAAGUAUCCCACCUGGGGAGUACGCUCGCAAGAGUG
rnacentral:rRNA from 1 species